AUCGCUUCUCGGCCUUUUGGCUAAGAUCAAGUGUAAAAGUACAAUUCACUUAAACAUUAUCAGUAGUUCUAGUUAAAGGUUUUGGAGUAUUCUGAAGGAUGGCAAAUAGAAAUUAGAGGCUUCAUAGAGAUUUUAAGAUUCUUAAACCUUC
rnacentral:snRNA from 1 species